UAUCUCUGUAGAGUCUGCAUAUCAAUAAGCGGAGGAAAAGAAACUAACUAGGAUUCCCUUAGUAACGGCGAGCGAAGCGGGAAGAGCUCAAAUUUGAAAUCUUCAAGGUUCUACCUUGACGAAUUGUAGUUUAAAGAAGUGUUUUCUGUUAGAUGAGUAGCAAAAGUUCCUUGGAAUGGGACAUCAUAGAGGGUGAGAAUCCCGUAUUUGGUUAUUCAUUCUAGCUUUGUGAUACACUUUCAAAGAGUCGGAUUGUUUGGGAAUGCAGUCCAAAAUGGGUGGUAAAUUUCAUCUAAAGCUAAAUAUUGGCGAGAGACCGAUAGCGAACAAGUACCGUGAGGGAAAGAUGAAAAGAACUUUGAAAAGAGAGUUAAACAGUACGUGAAAUUGUCAAAAGGGAAGCGUUUGACACCAGUGUUGUUUUUCCGAGAAUCAAUUACGAAUGGCUUGAUUUUGUGUUGUAUUGACCUUAUCAGCUUUCUUCACUUUUUUCGAGUCUUUCUUAAUGCACUUUUCGGUUAACAAGUCAACAUCAAUUUCUUUUGUUGUAAAAGAGUAUUCGGAAGGUGGCUUUCCUUUCGGAGAAAGUGUUUAUAGCCCUAUACUUCUACAAUCGGAGAGAUUGAGGUCUGCAGCGUAGAUCCUUCGGGGUUAGAUACACUUGUGCUAAGUUGUAGCUUUUCAUAGACAACUUGUUGACUAUGUUUAGUCAUGCGGCUUACUCGCUUGUGCUAUUUUACCUACGCUUAGGAUGUUGAACUACUGAGACAUAGA
rnacentral:rRNA from 1 species